rnacentral:tRNA from 1 species
UCCCUAGUGGUCCAGUGGUUAGCACUUGACGCUUUCACUGCUGGAGCCCCAGGUUCAAUCCCUGGUUGGGGAA